GUCAAAAAGUUAUUUUUAAAUAUUUUUUAUACUUUCAACCCAUAUUUUAAUUAAAAAAUUAUUCAAAAAAUUAGUUCCCAAACAAAUAAUACGACCAAAAAUAACAACAAAAAAAUUUGCUUAAAAAAGCAAGUCAAACCCAGCCAGUUGGUCGGCUAGGGAUCGUAUGCUUAUUUAGAGGUAAACGUGUACAAACUCUGUACACAACUUGCUACCCUGUGUACGCUGUACUUUAUAACACUUCCAUGUUCUCCAAAUCAACCCAAAAUAGACCAAUCCUUUUCUGGCAAGUUGGGAUCUAACUGCAUGCAUUUUAGGUGUAAUAAGAAAAAAUUAAGAGUUUGAGUUUAUGGAACAGUAACGAUUCUUUUAAGUGGUAUAUUUUUGUACAUUAAUUUUAUUAAUAAACUAAUCACUCUAACUUCUUAGAAUGUUGACAGAAAAAAUAAAAAACAAAAA